UGGGGUGUCUAGUGAUUAGUGGCUGCCUC
rnacentral:piRNA from 1 species